AAUGGGAAGAAUUAGUAGGGGUCAAUACCCCCUAUGAUGACGGUACCAUUUGUAAGCUCCGGCUAACUCCGUGCCAGCAGCCGCGGUAAUACGGGGGGAGCAAGCGUUGUUCGGAUUUAUUGGGCGUAAAGAGCGUGUAGGCGGUUCGGUAAGUCUGCCGUGAAAACCCAGGGCUCAACCCUGGGCGUGCGGUGGAUACUGCCGGGCUAGAGGGUGGUAGAGGCGAGUGGAAUUCCCGGUGUAGCGGUGAAAUGCGCAGAUAUCGGGAGGAACACCAGUAGCGAAGGCGGCUCGCUGGGCCAUACCUGACGCUGAGACGCGAAAGCGUGGGGAGCAAACAGGAUUAGAUACCCUGGUAGUCCACGCCGUAAACGAUGAACACUAGGUGUGGGCGGAGUCGAAUCUGUCCGUGCCGCAGCCAACGCGAUAAGUGUUCCGCCUGGGGAGUACGGCCGCAAGGCUAAAACUCAAAAGAAUUGACGGGGGCCCGCACAAGCAGCGGAGCAUGUUCUUUAAUUCGAUGCAACGCGAAGAACCUUACCUGGACUUGACAUGGUGCUGCAAGCGCACGGAAACGUGUGACCUUCGAGGGUGCACCACAGAUGCUGCAUGGCUGUCGU
rnacentral:rRNA from 1 species